GUAAAAGUAAAAGAGAAUCGAAAGUGGGGUUACGAACGAGUAUAUAAAUUCGUAAAAAUUAUUAGUUCAACGAUGUGACUGACAAAAUGUGUUAGAGACGUGAACUUAUAGUCUGGGAGAAAAGUAUUAUUAGGAGAUGAGUACAACGAUUCUCGAAUAUUAUUGGAUGGAUAUGCUAGUAAUUAUACAUUUCUUAUGAUCGGAACUGUCUCAGAUACAAAUUGCAGUUUAUUAUUUUGAAAUUAUACUCAACAGCAUCCAAAUAAUAUACAUUCUAACAAACUAUUCGUAACGCACAAUAAAUGAUUUUUUAAAUGAAUAUUAACUUAUCCAUAUUAUUCACCAAAUUUAAACAAAUUGAUGAUCUUUAAUGGAUCUGCAUAAUGUUACAAAAAUCAAGUCUAUCAGGAAUAAUGGAUAUAUUUUUCUCUGUUCAAUUUUUGACGUAGAGUAUUUAAACGGAACAAGUAUUCUCGAGCAUAUCUAAUUAUUAUAACAACAAUUUCGAUAAUCAAAAUAUUGGAAUGGACAGAGACAGAUUUCCAGAAAUGUCUGUAACGAUAGUUCUUCGCCUAGUUUAGGAGAAUAAAUCGCUAAUUAUCGCCAAUUACUGUAAAUUUCUAUUAUCAUCGAUAUAAAUUCCCAGGGAAGGGUAAAAACAUGUCGAUACAAAUAAUGCCAAACUCAUUGUUGUAGCUGUAAGAAAUUUUGUAAUAUAAUCGAUACAAAAGAUGACAUACUACUAGCGAAUCCAAAUUAUAUAUUCGUGAUAGAUUAUUUUGGACCAUAUGAAAUAUUAUUUAAAAAAUUAUUUCUGUUAAAAACCGAAUAAUCAAAUGUUCUUAUUAUGCGUAAACAGUUCAAUGCUAAAUUUAAAAUCACAUUAGAUAUUUGUCGCUAUAGAUAUAUGUAGAGUUACUAUAUAAUUACUUUAUAAUGGAAUAUUAUCACUAAAAUUAUAAUAUACUCAUUUGUCGGUGAUGAUAUUGAAUUUCCACCGUUUACUAAAUCUGUUGUUGAUUAUAGUAUAGCACAAAAAUAGGACUAAGAAAAAUAUCGACAGUAGAGAAUAAGCAGGAAAGGAGUUCAAUUGUCGAACGUUGAACAAAAACACGAUGCAGAAAACGAUAACUCCUUCAGAUGAUUCUCUUCUAAAAAUCUAAUAAUCGUUAUGAUAACAUCUAUCUGACUCUUACUUAUUAAUAUAGCUGAUGUCACGAUUAAUGGUUUAGCAAUGGAUUAAAAAUUACAGAUCAUUACAUGCAGUUUAAUCUGUUCUAAUCUUCUUAUCCUAGAACAUUUCCCAUUAGAAAAAAAAAUACAGGAAAUGUUCGUACCAUUGAAUCUAUGUAAUUUCUUAUCUUCCUUGGAACGAUGAUCAUUUGUUCGAGAAAAAGCUCAGCUAAAUCAACAAAAGCAACUGGUGCUAUGCUGAACAGGAAAGGCAUAUAAAUGAUCGUCGAUAAGUUUUUUCAGAGAAUAUAUUCGAAGAAGAGACUAUAUCAGUAUUUUUUAAACGAGUUUUAUAAAAUCGACUCCAAUUCUCUUUGAACCUUGGAAGAUCGCUUAGAAGAUUACCAAUUAUAGAACCAUAAUAUCACCAAUCAGAUCAUUCGAAAAACUAUUUUAAAAAUUAUUCAGAAUAUAAAUCUUCAUUAUAUUUCAGAUAUUCUUUUAAAAAAAUGUUCAUAUUGUAAGAUCUAGCAAUGUAAUGAUUAGUAUGCUUUUAAUAAAGUUGAGUAUAAAUUCAUCAA